AUAUCAAUAAGCGGAGGAAAAGAAACUAACAAGGAUUCCCCUAGUAACGGCGAGUGAAGCGGGAAGAGCUCAAAUUUAAAAUCUGGCCGGGUUACCGGUCCGAGUUGUAGUUUAAAGAAGUGUUUUCGGCGGCAACCUGGGUACAAGUCCUUUGGAACAGGGCAUCAUAGAGGGUGAGAAUCCCGUCCAUGACCCAGUGGAUGCUGCUAUGUGAUACACUUUCAAAGAGUCGAGUUGUUUGGGAUUGCAGCUCAAAAUGGGUGGUAAAUUUCAUCUAAAGCUAAAUACAGGCGAGAGACCGAUAGCGCACAAGUA
rnacentral:rRNA from 1 species